rnacentral:rRNA from 1 species
UACGGAGGGUGCAAGCGUUAUCCGGAUUCACUGGGUUUAAAGGGAGCGUAGGUGGGUUGGUAAGUCAGUGGUGAAAUCCCCGAGCUUAACUUGGGAACUGCCAUUGAUACUAUCAGUCUUGAAUACUGUGGAGGUUAGCGGAAUAUGUCAUGUAGCGGUGAAAUGCUUAGAUAUGACAUAGAAACACCAAUUGCGAAGGCAGCUGGCUACACAAUUAUUGACACUGAGGCUCGAAAGCGUGGGGAUCAAACAGG